GACGAAGGGGGCUAGCGUUGUUCGGAAUUACUGGGCGUAAAGCGCGUGUAGGCGGUUGCCAUAGUCAGGUGUGAAAGCCUUGAGCUUAACUCAAGAAAUGCACUUGAUACUGGGCGACUAGAGGACCGGAGAGGAUAGUGGAAUUCCCAGUGUAGUGGUGAAAUACGUAGAGAUUGGGAAGAACACCAGUGGCGAAGGCGGCUAUCUGGACGGUUACUGACGCUAAGACGCGAAAGCGUGGGGAGCGAACAGG
rnacentral:rRNA from 1 species